CCCAGACUCCUACGGGAGGCAGCAGUGAGGAAUAUUGGUCAAUGGACGGAAGUCUGAACCAGCCAUGCCGCGUGCAGGAAGACGGCUCUAUGAGUUGUAAACUGCUUUUGUACAAGGGUAAACCUGAAUACGUGUAUUCAGCUGAAAGUACUGUACGAAUAAGGAUCGGCUAACUCCGUGCCAGCAGCCGCGGUAAUACGGAGGAUCCAAGCGUUAUCCGGAUUUAUUGGGUUUAAAGGGUGCGUAGGUGGAGUGAUAAAUUAGAGGUGAAAUGUCCGAGGUCAACUCGGGGACUGCGCCUAAUAAUGUUGAUCUAGAGAGUAGAUGCGGUAGGCGGAAUGUGUGGUGUAGAGGUGAAAUGCUUAGAGAUCAUACAGAACACCGAUUGCGCAGGCGGCGUA
rnacentral:rRNA from 1 species